rnacentral:lncRNA from 1 species
UGGGACAUCCCACAUGGGUCAUCCCAUCUAAAAAAGGUUCAGACGAUGAGAAAAAAAUUUAAAAAUAAGAAAAAAUUCAAAAGAAAAAAUUUAAAAUUGGUCAUGUCGAGUUGAGAUGAUCAUGAGAAGUCCAAAUAAAUUUUGAUAUAAUUUUUGAUUGAGUAUUUCAAUAGAAAAAAAUCUAGAAAGGUAUCUAAAUAGCACUGAUGAUUUUUAAUUAUCUUGAAAAAAAUCUCAAAAAAAAGAUAGAUGGCUUCCAAAAUUAAGAUAAUGAUGUCAAAAAAUUUUAAAAAAAUUUUGGAAGUGAAAUUAUGAUUCAAGCAGAAGGGUCUA